CCUACGGGAGGCAGCAGUGGGGAAUAUUGGGCAAUGGGCGCAAGCCUGACCCAGCAACGCCGCGUGAAGGAAGAAGGCUUUCGGGUUGUAAACUUCUUUUCUGAGGGACGAAGAAAGUGACGGUACCUCAGGAAUAAGCCACGGCUAACUACGUGCCAGCAGCCGCGGUAAUACGUAGGUGGCAAGCGUUAUCCGGAAUUAUUGGGUGGAAAGGGCGGGGAGGCGGGGAAGCAAGUCAGAUGUGAAGACCCGGGGCUCAACCCUGUGCCUGCAUUUGAAACUGUUUUUCUGGAGUGCUGGAGAGGCAAUCGGAAUUCCGUGGGUAGCGGUGAAAUGCGUAGAUAUUCGGAGGAACACCAGUGGCGAAGGCGGAUUGCUGGACAGUAACUGACGCUGAGGCGCGAAAGCGUGGGGAGCAAACAGGAUUAGAUACCCUUGUAGUC
rnacentral:rRNA from 1 species